GUAUGAGUUUGGAGGUAUGGCAGACCCAUCUUCCUGUGUCUCUUACAGUACCCCAGGCCAGAGCAAACCAUGGCCUCGACUAUUGCUGGGCCUCUGCCCAUAGGCUGAAGACAGUGAAGCAGGUUGCAUAGUG